rnacentral:lncRNA from 1 species
AUGCGGGUGGAUCGUGAUCACAGAGCUGGGAUCUCGGGAGAUCUGAAAUCUGGGACUCCAUCGCUUGAGAUCUGGACGUAGAGGAUGAUCACGGACGGCUGGAUCGCAGCUGGGACGUGCGGAUGAAGCGGAAGGAAGCUGAGAUCUGGGAAUCCUGCGGGAUUUGGGGAAGGCUGAAAAUCGUGGUGGAUGCUGGGAGCUGAUCACAUGGACACGGGAUGAGGAGUCGCA